rnacentral:siRNA from 1 species
UACCUUGUGUGGCAAUCAUUUCGU